AAGUCGUAACAAGGUUUCCGUAGGUGAACCUGCGGAAGGAUCAUUAACGAGUUUUGAAAGGAGUUGUAGCUGGCCAUCCGAGGCAUGUGCACGCUCUGCUCAUCCACUCUACCCCUGUGCACUUACUGUAGGUUGGCGUGGGCUCCUUAACGGGAGCAUUCUGCCGGCCUAUGUAUACUACAAACACUUUAAAGUAUCAGAAUGUAAACGCGUCUAACGCAUCUAUAAUACAA
rnacentral:misc_RNA from 1 species